rnacentral:misc_RNA from 1 species
CCGAGUAUCGGGUCUCCGGGCCCUACUCCCACCCUCUGUGUACCUACCUAUUUUUCGUUGCCUUGGCGGGGUCGGUCCCCGUGGCCCCUGCGGCCACGUGGGGGACCCGCCGGGGGAACACGCCUAAACUCUAUUUUAACGUCUCGUCUGAGAAAACACAUAAUAAGUCA